rnacentral:lncRNA from 1 species
CCAGCAGACCCCUUUUUUUUCCAGAUAAGGGGUUCUGAACCCACCUGGGGAUGAGGCCUGGUCUUAUGGAAGGUGGACUUAGCUUCGCUGGGCAGACAGCUCUGGCCCAGGGUGGUAUGUAAU